UACGAAGGGGGCUAGCGUUGCUCGGAAUCACUGGGCGUAAAGCGCACGUAGGCGGACUCUUAAGUCGGUGGUGAAAUCCUGGAGCUCAACUCCAGAACUGCCUUCGAUACUGAGAGACUUGAGUCCGGGAGAGGUGAGUGGAACUGCGAGUGUAGAGGUGAAAUUCGUAGAUAUUCGCAAGAACACCAGUGGCGAAGGCGGCUCACUGGCCCGGUACUGACGCUGAGGUGCGAAAGCGUGGGGAGCAAACAGG
rnacentral:rRNA from 1 species